rnacentral:sRNA from 1 species
GCUUCCGCCAGGAGAGAGCUGGCGGAGUUGAGGCGCCGGCUUUCCCGGGUCUUCUCCAGCUGCCACCGCUUUGCUGCAAAGCUGACGGGCGCAAAGACAUGAGUGACUCCGCGGGAGGGCGCGCUGGUCUCCGGCGUUAUCCCAAGCUCCCAGUGUGGGUGGUGGAGGAUCAUCAGGAGGUUCUACCCUUUAUAUACCGGGCCAUAGGCUCAAAGCAUCUUCCUGCCAGUAAUAUAAGUUUUUUACAUUUCGACUCACAUCCAGACCUCCUUAUUCCUGUGAAUAUGCCAGCAGACACCGUGUUUGAUAAGGAAACACUCUUUGGGUAAUAUGUGAUUUUAUUCGUGGUCUUUUGUGUUUGAAGUACAAUUUGCAAUAGAUAAUAAGCAAUUAUAGGAAAUAGACUUUGCUAAACUCAUGGGUUUGGGGGUUUUUGGUUUGUCUUUUUUUUUUUUUUUUUCAUUUUAUUUAGAACAAGUGUUGACAACUUUCUUAAAGAGCCAGAUUAG